GACCGCGCUUCUGUUGGCCUCGGCGUGGCAGCACUAGACCUAUGUUGAGUGCUUUGAGCUAGAAACCGGUGUGGCGCGCGCGCCUCCCCGAGCUCUAGUCAGAAGUCCUAGAGAAACCAAGCUGUUUCUUGUCCCGCGAGCCAGGCCAUGCCUCCCACUUCCCAGGCCGCGCGUGUGCGUCGCUGCCCCAGCGUUGUGAAAAGCGGAGCAUCCUCCUUGUAGACCUCGGUUUGCCCCCACCUCCCUGCCAGACAUCUCCCCACGAAAGCAUUCACUGGACGAGGACGUUAGUUUGUAGACCCUUGUCGCCCGAAUAUACCGUGUUCCCUGCCUUCCCCCACGAAUUUGGGAUUCCGAGAACCACCUGCUCAUGGAGGACCCGCCUGGGCAAGUUGGUGGUGGCGGACCUAUGGCCAAGUGGAUGAGCUGUUUUUUCUAAACUAAAACCUCAGCAUUCAGGAUUAAUUACUGUGCUAUUCCGUGCCAUGCUUCAAGUGGGUUUUAGGUUGCAUUUUGGGCUCUGGGUCUCCAAAAGGUUUGCUGUUCUGGACCUUCCUGCGGUUAUGCACUCACUCAACAGUGGAGGUGGAGAUUUGCCAUCUGAGGGAGCAGCAGUGUCUGGGUCGGAGAGUUCAGAAUCAUCGACCAGCUCCUGCCAAAGGCUCAGGCUGGUCUGUCAGAUGCAAGGCCCAUGUGCUCCUGGGCUGUUUCUACCUGAGGUCUAGAGAGCAGGCCCACCUUUCUUGCAUUGCUGUGUGUAAGCAGCCUUAAAUCGACACUUUUCAGAGAAGGUUUUUAUCACCUACUGUUGGAGUAAAGGGCCAGCCCUGCUACAGCUCUGUUGAUGUUUCAAUAAUAUGCGUGCCAUUAUGUGUGGGGUUACAGGCAUGGGCCACCACCACACUUGGCUGAGUAUCUUAGUUUAAAACGUGAAAAGGUUUACCCAUCUUUUAGAAGAUAUGUUAGUAUGUCAGUCUUUUGACAUAUGGUGGAACUAGUCUGGACUGUACUUGCCCAGGUCCAAAGACUGCUGAGUGAUCUCAUAAGAGAGUGAUUCACUACUCGCUAAAACACACAUGUAUGAUCAAAGACACAGAAAAAGGCGAAAGAUGCGAGUGAAUGUGGUCCCUCCAAACCUACCUUUAUUCUUCAUGGUGGUCGCCAGACUGAGAUGCCCAAGGAGAUGAACCCUCCGCCCAGCCAGGGAAGUCGGGAAAGUGGUGGACCCGCGGCUGAGUCCGGAGCCCAGUGGGGCUCAAGGCAGCCGCACUCGAGCGCGCCCCCUGCUGUCAGCCGCACCGAUCCCUCCCAGGGCGCCGAACUCCGCUGCCCAGCCCGCGAGGUUUCCAGGGGCCUCCGUGGAGUCGCAGUGCCGCGAAGAGCUGUGGCUUUUCAAAGGGAUAAAACCUUUUCUUUGAAUUUUGGAUCGCAACUUCUUGUGCUUGAGUAAUGUUUAAUUAAGGUAGUAAUUAAAUUACAUAAUUAAAGUAACACCCACAGCUGGAAAAACUGGUUCUGGAAGAAAUCCAUUUGACUCAUGGUAAACCAGACGUCCAGCUUCUGGCGGCAGAGGUGCAUGGUCACAUCAGAGUGUAGCUGAGAAGUAUCAGGAAGCCCACGUUUCAAGGUGUAGUCAACACCUUGAGGUGAAGACUACGGUUAUUCUGUACAGAUCUGUAAUUACCACAAAAUCUCUUCAUGUUGGAGUUGGGCCGUCUUUCUCCCUCUGUCCAUCUACAAUUACUUUGUACAGAUGAUGUAUACUCGAGUAAUUUCUUUUUUUUUUUUUUUUUUUUUUGGUAUUAGAUACUGAGCUCAGGGUCGUCUUCAUUGAGCUCCACGUACAGACCUUUUUGGAAUUUUUUGUUUUGAUACAGGGUCCAAGUUGCUGACUUUGCCCAGACUGGACCCAAACUUAGAUCCUCCUGUCUCAGCUUAGCAGAGCCCUGAGGUUACUGGUGUUUGGCACCACGAGCUGCUUCCAUCAGUAACUUGAAAAGGGUCCCCUACCAUAAAGGAGAGACCCAAAGAGCCCAGCUGAGUGCCCGGAUCCCACGGCAAUGUCCUGUACAAGUCCAGGUGGAGGCCCAGAGUAGAUGACAAUGUCCCGUGCAAGUCUGUAUGACAGAUCUGCGCUGGGGAGCCCUAAAGACCAGUGAUGGAAGCUAGAAAGUCUGUGCCAGCGGGUGAAGGAUCUGUGCCAGCAGGCUGAGAGAUCUGCACUGGAGCCAGGGAUUAAAGCUUAAGGUAAAGAAGCCUAGCCACCCUCAGCAACAGUGGUAUCCUGAGCUCCUUCAAGGAUGAGAACAGCCGAGUUCGUAUCAGAAAAACCAGUGUGACAAGCUUUUCCAGGAGAAUCACCAGUGCACAUAUUCCCCUCCAGUUCUGCUCUUACGAUGCUGGCAGCGAUUCUCAGGGGGCCCUCCACACGCAGCAUCGCGCUCAGUGCCGCUGGGGGCUCCAAGUUGCCCAGUAGUUCAUCCACCGACUCAUUAAUUCAGCUCAUUACUUCCAUGUUUAGAUCAAACUCCUCAAAUUCCUGCCUGGGAGAUAAUUUGGACUGCUGGUUCCUGUCUUCAGGCCAAUUUGAAUGAGGAAUGAAAGCCGGAAAUCACAGGCCGUCUUCGACGGCACAAGAAUGCUCUCACUCCUGUCUGUGUGUGGCAGUGCACACACAGGCUACAUGGGGUCUGCUGCAGUGCUUGCCUGUCCACUCCAGCUGUGGACAGUUCACACAGAAGCGUGCUGCACAGAACAUUGUACCAGUACUGUGGAUGUUAUCUCCCAAAAAUAAAUUUCCUCAUUCCUGAGUAAGGCUAUUUCUACUUCCAAAUCAAGUCGUCUUCACGUCUUCACGAUACAGUCUACGUCUUCUGAUGUGCUUCCCAGGCGCUGAGGAUGGUGAGGAGGGGCUGCGGGUUUGCUGUCUCGGAAGCAAAGCAAGUCUUCAUUCUCGCAGUGUGGCAGCUCGGGGCCGGCUCCUGCCCCCACCCCAUGGGUCAGGACACACACUUUGGGCACAGUGUCCAGGCUCCUAGACGCCAGGAUGGAGUCACUGCCUCCUGGGCAGAGCUACAGCACCCUCUAAACCCAGGAGCAGGCCUCGGGGCUGCAGCCUGCACUGCCUCCCAAGACUAGACCGGCCUUGAACUCGUGAUUCUCUUGGCUCAGCCUCCCAAGUGCUACAGAAUGACAGAUGUGUGCUACCAUGACUGGCUGCUGCCUUUAAUAAACGUGAAAGCUUGCCA